rnacentral:rRNA from 1 species
UCGAGAAUCAUUCGCAAUGGGCGAAAGCCUGACGAUGCGACGCCGUGUGAGCGAAGAAGGCCUUCGGGUUGUAAAGCUCUUUCGCCUGGGAACAAGAGAGAUGGCUGAAUAAGCCAUUGAUUUGAGGGUACCAGGUAAAGAAGCACCGGCUAACUCCGUGCCAGCAGCUGCGGUAAUACGGAGGGUGCAAGCAUUAAUCGGAAUUACUGGGCGUAAAGGGUGCGUAGGCGGUUAGGUAAGUCAGAUGUGAAAUUCCGGAGCUUAACUCCGGCGCUGCAUUUGAAACUACUUAACUAGAGGAUAGAUGGAGAAAGCGGAAUUCCAAGUGUAGCGGUGAAAUGCGUAGAUAUUUGGAAGAACACCGGUGGCGUAGGCGGCUUUCUAGUUUAUUCCUGACGCUGAGGCACGAAAGCUAGGGGAGCAAACAGGAUUAGAUACCCCUGUAGUCC